rnacentral:misc_RNA from 1 species
ACGGAAGAUGGGGAUUAUCAGGUCAAACUACGCAACCUGAUACGUUUCCUAGAAGAUGGGGACAAGGCAAAAAUUAGCAUGCGCUUCCGUGGCCGUGAAAUGGCUCACCAAGAUGUCGGUAUGCGUUUGUUUGAACGCCUUGAAAAAGAUCUAGAAGAACAUGCCCUUGUUGAAGCCCGUCCACGUUUGGAAGGUCGUCAAAUGGUGAUGGUUCUAGCCCCGAAAAAAAGAAAGUAACUGCCUAAAGUCACUUGCAAAAAGGCAUCCUAGUUUUUAAUUGGGGUGCCUUCUUGUCGGUAUUCAGGCUCCUUCAAUAAAGAAUGCGGAGUAUCUCAGAUGCCCA